AACAAUGGUUUGCAGGCACACAGUAAAACAAUCCAUUUGAUAAGCUAAUGAGCUGAGAGUCAUCAGUGAGCAUUGAACUUUGAAUCUUUAAAAUGGAUGAAGUGUACCUUCCUCUACGGAAUGCGAUUUAUCAACAUUCUAAAGCCCACUGCACGCACGAGAUACAUAUUGAUUUAUAUUAUACUACUAGUAGCCUACCAAUGAGAUGCAGUUCUUUAAUAAUGAAAAACGUAUUCCUACUUUAAUAUAGGCGUAGUACGGAAACGGAUUACUUUAAAAAUAAGCAAUGUCGCAAUAACUUGUUUUGUGGGUCUGGUUUAGAGUAUUUGAUUUUGCGACAACAUUGCGUUCUCCGUUUCCGCACUAUGUCCAUAUCGCAAAAACGUUUUUGUGAGUCUCUCUGGUCUCCAGAUACUGGACCUUAUCCUACCUAUCCAGUGCCAUUAAAUCCAUGACAUAAGGAACUUUGAACUGAUGUACUUAGUUAGUCGUAGUUAGACUGACUUACCCGACGUCUAGGCUGCAUGCUGCUCCAUAAGAUUAAAAUAGUAAAAACGUGGAAUUGGCUCAGUGCAAGAAGGAAGUGUUUUUCAGAUUUGUGUCGUAAUGUGAAACUCGAGUUGUUUGACAGGUGCGGCAAGGGAGGGCAAUGUAAUGAUGCCCAAAGAGAGCCUACCAACAAAUGACUCCUUCCUCCCAGACCUGGACAAGCUAGACGUAUGACACACAAACACCAUGCACACUACGUCUCUUUCCUAACGUUUAAAAAAAAUAAGAUAGCCCAAAAACAUCCCCUAGCCUUUAACCCCUUAGCCGAUUGCAUGUCUGAAGGAACCAGAUAGGUGUAAACAAUAUUGCCGAAACUCCCUGUAUCCCGUUGGAAGGCUAGGUGGAGCCGCCUCCAUAUUACUUACACCGGUCCAAUAAUUGCUGUUCUUCAAACACCAAAGGGUUUGGGGCUCAGUGCAAGAAAAUUGGAGUUGUUGUUGGACCUGGCAUAACACUUCUCAUUCAUGUGUCUCAUUCUGACAGUUAAUUUUAUGUCCAGAAGGGAGAGAUAUUGGCUGAGGUUGAUUUGGACCCAACUCCAGUGCCUCACUGUUCCGGUAAGGGUCGAAAAACGAAGCAUUUUGCCACAGUGCAGGUGCUCUGUGGCAACAAAAAAAAGGUGAUUUAUAAGUUAGCAUACUAUU
rnacentral:lncRNA from 1 species